rnacentral:rRNA from 1 species
CGUAUAUUAAAGUUGUUGCGGUUAAAAAGCUCGUAGUUGGAUUUCUGUCGAAAGUGCUUGGUCCCCACUCUGUGGGCGCAUCUAAGUCGCUUUUGGCAUCCUCCUAUUUUUCGUUUGCUGCACUUAAUUGGGUGGCUUUCGGAGUAGGACUUUUACUUUGAGGAAAUUCGAGUGUUUACGGCAGGCAAUCGCCUUGUAGAUAUUAGCAUGGAAUAAUAAUAUAGGACCUUGGUUCUAUUUUGUUGGUUUCUAGGACUGAGGUAAUGAUUAAUAGGGAUAUUUGGGGGCAUUCGUAUUAACCGGUCAGAGGUGGAAUUCUUGGAUUCGGUUACGACGAACUACUGCGAAAGCAUUUGCCAAGAAUGUUUUCAUUGAUCAAGAACGAAAGUUAGGGGAUCGAAGACGAUCAGAUACCGUCCUAGUCUUAACUAUAAACCAUGCCGGCUAGAGAUCGGAGGUUGUUCGUUUUAUGACGCCUUCAGCAUCUUGAGAGAAAUCAAAGCCUUUGGGUUCCGGGGGGAGUAUGGUCGCAAGGCUGAAACUUAA